GCUCUGUGGAUUGAACUGACAUGAGACGAAGCUAUUUCAAGUCUCCUGCAGUGAUUUUUACAUUCAUAAAAAUGUUCUCAAUGUAUCACAGGCACUGUUUGAUCACAGAGAAAUAAUGUUCUCAGAAAUCUAACUCAGGUGUGAUCUCCUUUUGGGGAAAGUUUCCUCUUUUCUCCAAUGCUCUUUAAGAUGCAUUUUCUAUGACUGGCCAUUUCUAUUGGUCACAAUUGGUAAGAUUCUAUUGGUCACAAAUGUAACCUAGGCCAUUGACAGGAUUUUCUGGCAGAAACCAUCAUGGGUAUUAAAAGUCAGUGGGUUGGGAGCAAGAGUCACCAGAAACCAUCACAUUCGACUGUGUGAAGCUCCUGAUUUACAAUUUUGUCUCACUUCCUUGGGUUGUCUCCCAUGAGCAGAAGUAACUCAGGAGGCUGAGGAAAACAGCAGAUUGUGGCUGGGCCGACCUUCUAGAAAGGUCCACACAGUGGUCCCUGGACCCUAGGAGUUCUCCACUCCCCCAACACUGUUUAUAUUAGCUAUCAUGCACGGAACAGUCAUGUGGUACACUUUGCAGUCAGCAAGUUUAUCUUCUGUUAAAGUUUUACCAGUAGAAAUCAAGUAGUAUUUACCCCUGUUCUGCGGCAAGUCAUGUGCAAACAGCACCUGUGAACAUUUUCAGCACACAUGCUGGACUUUCUCCUUCGUGUUUCUCAUCACAACAAAUGUUGGGGGGAAAGCCAACAAUUGUCGAGACUCUGGCAAAUGUGGAACUCCUCACCAGAAAUGACUCACAAUCACUGCUGUCAAGGUGCAUGGGACUUUGCUUUUGCCGUCGUCAGAGCACCUUCGUUGGUUACAGACAUUCGUCCUUACAUAAGGCCAAACUCAGCACACCCAUAAGAACUCUGAAUGCUGCUAACAGACUUUGGGCCAGCUCACUCUAGAAGACGUGCCUCAUAGAAGUGAUUUCCUUUUUCUUUUCCUGUUGGCCCACACAGAAAGGGGAAUCAUGGGUAAGAAGAAAAUAUCUAAAAUGUUUUGAGAACUUUUGUGCUUUGUAGUUAUAUUCUUUUGCCCUGUUUCUCCGCUUGUUGAAUGUUUUUGGAUUCUUGCUUUUCUCCCAAUGAUUGAUUCAAGCCCACUAGGAUGGUCUUCUUGGAUACCAAUUCCUGUUCUUAAAAGGACAUUUGUUGGAGGAACAUGACUUGAGAGAACACAUUCUUUGAAAUUUUGAAGUAGGUGGAUCCCAAAAGUAUCCAAGGAUCCAUUUUCAUUUCAAGGAAGCACAUAAUUCAUACAGCACAAAGGAGAUAAGAUAAUUCAUUGCUCCAUUCCCAUUCUGUCACCUAUGGAUUCUCUCUUCUACAAGAUCAGAUUUAUCCAAUAUGGCCUGUCAUGCAGCUAAUUUGUGGCUGCUUUGUUUGCUUCUCAGGGUGAUUAUGAAAGGCUCAUGAAGUCAGGAGCUGGGGCAGCCAUCUUGCAAUCUCUGAAGAGGUAAGCCUGAAGACAUAAGACAAUAGUGCUGAGGAUGGAGAAACCAAAAGAUGGGAAGAAACUGGGUCCUCGGUACCAGCCUCUAAUUUCACUAAGUAGUCCUUGAACUCCUCAGUCCCCAGACUUCUUGUUAUGCGAAGAUGAUAGGCGUCAUUUUGCGUAGGCCACUUUGUCAGGUGUUCUGUUCAUAACACCUAGAGUCAUCCAGAAUGAUACCUUGGCCUUUUAUCCUUUCACAGAUUGAUUGUUGUGCCCAGACAUGUCUGGCUCUCAGCAGAGGAGCUCACAUUGAGCUUUUCACUACAGGCACCUCUGGUCUCUGUGAAGAAAUAAAAAACUCUUCAUGGGUCCA
rnacentral:lncRNA from 12 species